UACGAAGGGGGCUAGCGUUGUUCGGAAUCACUGGGCGUAAAGCGCACGCAGGCGGAUCGUUAAGUCAGGGGUGAAAUCCCGAGGCUCAACCUCGGAACUGCCUUUGAUACUGGCGAUCUUUGAGUCCGGGAGAGGUGAGUGGAACUCCGAGUGUAGAGGUGAAAUUCGUAGAUAUUCGGAAGAACACCAGUGGCGAAGGCGGCUCACUGGACUGGUACUGACGCUGAGGCGCGAAAGCGUGGGGAGCAAACAGG
rnacentral:rRNA from 1 species